rnacentral:rRNA from 1 species
UACGUAGGUGGCAAGCGUUGUCCGGAUUUACUGGGUGUAAAGGGCGUGUAGGCGGGAAUACAAGUCAGAUGUGAAAUACUGUGGCUCAACCACAGAACGGCAUCUGAAACUGUAUUUCUUGAGUACUGGAGAGGAAAGCGGAAUUCCUAGUGUAGCGGUGAAAUGCGUAGAUAUUAGGAGGAACACCGGUGGCGAAGGCGGCUUUCUGGACAGUAACUGACGCUGAGACGCGAAAGCGUGGGGAGCAAACAGG